AGGAAUGCGGUCUGGGAAAGAAGAGAAGAUUGUAACAAUGUACAGACUGUAAACAAAGAAGAAGAGCGGAAGCCAAACCUGCAACUACACAGGACGUGACAGCUACUGGAACUGAGUGAACGAAGGGUUUGACUUAUGUGUGGGAGGGAGAAAGAGCAAAGGGAGAAAAAUACUUCCCAAUAAAUAGGCGUGAAAGUUUCACACAACAGUUUCCUGCCAUUCAACAACACACAGCACCGGGCGUUCACAGGGACCGGCUGGGCCUCGGAGCUGUUCGUCUUUGGGACUUCUACUACGAUGACGGCCGCUGUGUUUGGAUUAAACAUGUGUGGAGAAUCUUAGCCAAAACUUUCAACUUUUAAAAGGAAGAAGCUUCAUGUGAAAGCAGUCACCUGAAAUUGGACUUUUGUUUAGGGGACGCCUGUCAAUACAACUACCUGCCAUCUCAAUAGGACUUUAAUAUCACUCUGAAUCACCAACUGGACAACUAAGAACUCACUGAAGGAGUGCACUCAGACUGAGGAUUUAAAGUUUUAUCAGAAAUGUCUAAGUCGCAUGAAGCGGCGGGGGAGGAGGAGGACCUCCCACUGUACACCAUCCCAGGAGAAGGAGCCACACAAAAUAAUCAAGCAUACAUCAGCAAUGGUCCGGGCGCCGCCUCCUUCUGCGAUGACCAGCACCACAGGAAACUCGCCAUCUGCAGCAUCAUCUGUGGGAUCUCCUGCAUCGGAAUCAUGGCUCUGAUCAAUUCAGUCAAGGCUGAGACAGCGGAGGAUCCAGAGAAAGCGGCGCCGUUUUUAAAACGGGCAAAAACGUUUGGCAUCAUCUCCAUCGUGGUUUGGGUUUCCAUUCUGGUUUUAACUCCCUUGCUGAUAGUGCUGAUCUCGUACCUCCUCACUCUGGGAGACUGAUCAACUUUGAACAAUGGCUACAGAAGUCAACCAGAGGAGUGACUUUUUGGAUGUUAAUGGAGACGGACAGUACAAAGCUCCUCAUCAACUACUAAACGCCACGAAGAAACAUAAAACAGACUGUUUUCUUGUGCUGAUGACGUGACCCCUGUCCCAGUUUACACUAUUCUACUUACCGUACUCCAAACCAGGUGUUGUGUUUUUUAUGAAAGGAUCAACCGCUCUAGAAAACAGUAUAAAAAAACGUUACAACUUUGUUAUAUGCUGUAAUAUUUAUUUAACAAUAUAUGAACAUGGACAAUUCAAAAUCGAAACGACCAUAUAAAAAUCCAGCAGUGCCUAUAGUUUGAGACAUGACACUAUAUGACACAUAUACAUUAGAAAUGUCAUUCACCAAUAAAGACCCAAUCCUUAAUAUUACAAUUUAACAUACUCAUUCUGAGAUAAUGUAUAUACUACAGAUACUACAAAAGUUAAUAAAUUACUCCAUCUGUCAAUCUAAAAAGUCGUGACAUUAACUUGUUCAUCAGGGAUUGGGUCUCUACUGGAGGACAUGCAUGUGAUGGCAGUGAGAACAAGAUCCUGCUCUUAUUGACAACUUUACCGUGGCAAUAUUGCAUUGUUACCAUUCUAGCUGUAUUAAUGUCAAAUGUAUCAAUAUGUUGUACUUUUAUACAAACAGAAACUAUUUCAUAAUAAAAACGACUUUGUGCUCCGAUUUGUUUGAAGGAUCUUGACCCGCCCUCGUAAAAACAAUUACCAACAACAUCUAUUUAAACAUUUUACAGUUAAGGCAAUCUCGUCGAAAUUUGGCCAACAAGAAAAAUACAUACAUGAGCAGUUCAUCCAGAAGUUACAUUCGCAAUACAAAUAUAGACGGCACGAAACCAUCCAGAGAACCACAGGUCAUUUAAAGCCAACCAGCAG